GCCGCAGCCACCCUCGCUCCUCUGCUGGGCGCGAGCAGCCGGGGGCAGCCUCCCUCCGUGGCAUGGAUGGGGCUCACAAACGGCGCUUUGUCGUUCCGCUGAGGGAUCUGGGGCGUCCCGUGAGCUGCAAUACACAAACGCCCACUGGAUUAAGAGCCGUCAGACUGGUUCCCAAACCAAACACUGAGGAGCUGGGAGAGCCCCCAAAGAGCCCCUCUAAGGUUGGCCUUUGAAACCCACGAGUCGGGGAACAGGAGCCCACCGGCAGCAUCAGAUCACAUUUCUCCCAGUCCCAGCACACUCACAGAAGUCAAGUCCUCGUUCCAGGAUGUGUCCCAGAUUCAGUGUCACAUAUGUCCCCCUGAGGACGAUCUGAUCGUGCCAGGCAGCCCCCGCACCCUUGUUAAAGUGUACCAGGGUCCCUCCCAUGCGUCAAGGUCAUGUCCAAACCCCUCAUGUGCUUCGUAUGCCCUGCCUGGUCUGGCCUCACCACUUGCCCCUCACAAUUCUGAAUUUGUUUUUGUUUCCUCAGUGUUCCCGAGCCCCCUUCCUCCUUGUGACCCAAGAGGAAGCCCAGGUGCCGUUUGCAUUGGUCAGGGUCCAGGCAGGAAAGGGAAACACUUUGAAUAGUGAAAACAGGGAGAAUUUAAUACAGGGAAUUGGCUACCUAUGCCAUGGCAGUGCCAGGAGGCCGCCAGGGGACUGGGAGGCACCGGUGGGUGAGUAAGAGCAGGAGGCCUUCUCAUCACACCCUUGGAGCUGGAGACGGGAGGAGAUGGUGCAGGGUCCCCGGGGCCGCACCUGUCACGGUGCCUGUUGGCACAGCUGCUGCUGCCCCGGGACACUGCCCACGGAAGAGGAGGAGGAGAGAGAGGCCGGCUCCCUCUUUCCUCCUGCUUCUACUCAUCCCCCAGGGAAUCAGCAAACUCUGAGGCCUGGGAGUGCAACCCAAGGGAUGGCCUCCUGUGACACGAGCAGGGCAGCUGAAGCGGGAUGUCCUGACAGCAGGCGGACACAGCAGACCUGUGGCAGUCUGCGGGGUGGGAAGCCGUCCUUCUGCACCUCUUUUCUCUUUUCAUCAUCACUUGUUUGUAUUUUUCAAAGCUCUAUUGAUGCAGAUGACAGAAAUUGACCUAAGCAAGAAAAAAAAAUGUUUUGGUCUGUGGAGCUGGAAAGUCCUGGUGCUAGAUUCAGACAGGGCUGGACCAGGGACUCAGACAAGUCAGCCACUCCGUUUGGGCCACUUGGCCUCUCAGCUCUCUCCUCCGUCUGGACUCCACUUCCUCAGCAGCUCAGUGUGGAGGCAGCCUCCCUCCCACCCAUUUGACCACAACUCUGGGCCAAUGGCCAACAUGUGAACUGAUGACUGUGGUCCAAGUGAUGGAGGCUCUGGUUGGCCAAGGACAGAUCCAGGAUACAAGGGACAAUCCAACCAAAACCCAUGGGCCAAGCCAGCCAGCAGCGGGUGGAACAGAGGCUUGAGGAGACAGGAUUCCCAUUCACUCAUGCCACCAGCACCCAACCCAAAGAAUGGGGCAACUCAGCUGUGACUACCAUCUGGCUACAUCUGCUUUUCUGACACUUUCAUGGAAGACAGAGUUUAACUUUUAAGGGUCCUGGGAACUGCAGCAAAGCCUGAGAACUUCUGGGAGAUGCUGAUUCUGAAAUUCCUCCCAGAACCAGCUGAGUCACAGACUUGGGGGUGCCUGGGAAUCUGCAUGUCAACACUUCCUCCAGGGGAGCCUCAGGGUGCUGGAGUUUGAGAACUGCUGUUCCAACUGUAACUCACUCAUGGACCUCCAGUACUCUGGGCAUCCAUGAAGACAAUCACUUGGGCCUGUGACCCUGCCCCGGAAGCUCUUUGGUUUGGCCAAUGCCAGCCCUGCAUUAAGGCUCAGGGGCAGGGGAGCCCUGGAGCACAUCCCCCAUCAUGUUCUGCUGGCCAGCGUCUCCUCUCUGCCCUCCUGCCUCAGAAAGAGACUUGGGGAAUUCUUCCUCCCUAGACCGUGGGCCCAUCACCACCAAGAGACAACAAAGAUGGAGCCACCGCUUGGACUCUGGGUCAACUUCUCACUCCAUCCUUGGGACUGGACAGCUGCCAGUGAAAUCUGCCAACCAGCAUGCAUUUGGCAAUCAGAGAAUACCCUGCUGUGCCCAGGCAGGGGUCCGUGGCACAGUGGGGAACUCACUGUGUCCAAACUUCAGCAAGUACAGGAGCUUUCCAGCUGCUGACUCGGCAAGUGCAAUUAUAUCCCACGUCCCAUUUUUAUUCCACAGUGAAACAAUGCCAGGCCUAAAGGGAAACAGAGAGACAUCCCCCCGAUGCGACAGAGGCCCCUACUCUGUUUCCUGUUUGUUCGCGCGAUGGUGGUUGAGCCAAGCUGCCCCUGCAAUGCUUCGGAGGAAAGUUCCCUUCGGGGUCCAACCCGCAACCUGAACAGCACCGCCCAGCACAGCCCCUGCAGAGCCCUGAUCAUCAUAGCCUUUUAGGCCUCACUGUUUGUGGUGGGCUAGCAGUUGCUUCCAGAGAAGAAGAAAUUUUUUCCCCUAAAUUCUAGAUUUGGGAAAGAAAACAUUUUGCCUUCCAAGCUCCUGGUGACCCUGUUGGAAACAGGGCAUGCUGAAUUUCAUACACAUCUUACCAUCUUGGGAGCAAAAGAGAUGACAAAGUUGUGUAAGUCACCAUGGGAUGGACCAGAAAGGCCCGUGUAGAAGGCUGGUGGUUUCCAACAUGAGUUCAAGGAACCCAGAACAGCCUCAAGGAGCCAGAGGGGAGAGAAGACUAAGGGUGUCUCCUGAAUAUUAGUUGGAUGACUUUUGGACAAAUGACAUGCCUUCUUGAAACCUCACUCUCUUCAUCUUUAAGAUUGGGGCAAUAGCAUCUACUUUGCCUACUUCAUGGAGAUUUGAAACACUAUUCUAGGUAUGCGGUGAUAGCUUGCUGUGCUCGUGCCUACUUUAAGCUGGAGAGACAAUUUGGCAGAGAGGACAAAGGGCAUUUCAGGAGAAAGGAUGGCAAAGCCAAGGCCGGCUGUGUUUGUGCCAUGUGCUGGGAGAGACCAGCCCACCCCAGUGACUGGAGUGUGCUUCAUAGCUCCUUAGUACUGGCAUCUCUCUCACCGCUUCCCUUGGCCAAGCCUGUGUUCCAGAACUGCCAGAAUUAUCUCUCCAUUUGCAUCAGGGGACUUCCCUCCUAGACCCGAACUGGUCAGGUUUCUCUAUAGCAUUUUUCUCAAUUUAAGUAGAGAACAAACUAGAGAAAAGAAAUGAUCCGAUUGCUAGAAACAUUUGCCAAUCUUUGUAACUACAAAUCAUUUUUUUCUAUUAUUUCUC